rnacentral:rRNA from 1 species
GAUUUCUGGCAAAUUCGGAUGGCCCGGCUCCUUCUGGGGCUGCGUGCUGUCUCUGAGUCUGCCAUCCUUCCAGAGAGCUGUGCCUACCGCUUCUGCGGCCGGGCGCUGUGAUCUGGAUCUUUUACUUUGAAAAAAUUAGAGUGUUCCAAGCAGGCUUACGCUUUGAAUACAUUAGCAUGGAAUAAUAAUCUAGGACUUCGGUUCUAUUUUGUUGGUUUCUAUAACUGAAGUAAUGAUUGAUAGGGAUAGUUGGGGGUGCUAGUAUUGGCCGGCCAGAGGUGAAAUUCUUGGAUUCGGUCAAGACUAACUUAUGCGAAAGCAUU